GACCCGGUGGUGGAUGGUCCGCGUCUGCCUACUAUACGUGUCCUACCCUCUUGCUAGGAUGCAGAACUCUCCCGUUCGAUUCGGGGCUGGGUCA